rnacentral:rRNA from 1 species
UUCUGGCUCAGGAUGAACGCUAGCGACAGGCUUAACACAUGCAAGUCGAGGGGCAGCACGGGAGUAGCAAUACAACGUGGUGGCGACCGGCGCACGGGUGAGUAACGCGUAUGCAACCUACCUAUCAGAGGGGAAUAACCCGGCGAAAGUCGGACUAAUACCGCAUAAAACAGGGGCACCGCAUGGUGAUAUUUGUUAAAGAAAUUCGCUGAUAGAUGGGCAUGCGUUCCAUUAGGUAGUUGGUGAGGUAACGGCUCACCAAGCCGACGAUGGAUAGGGGAACUGAGAGGUUGGCCCCCCACACUGGUACUGAGACACGGACCAGACUCCUACGGGAGGCAGCAGUGAGGAAUAUUGGUCAAUGGGCGAGAGCCUGAACCAGCCAAGUCGCGUGAAGGAAGAAGGAUCUAUGGUUCGUAAACUUCUUUUGCAGGGGAAUAAAGUGCGGGACGUGUCCUGUUUUGUAUGUACCCUGAGAAUAAGGAUCGGCUAACUCCGUGCCAGCCGCAGC